CCGAAUAAACACAAUCUCCAAUAAACAUCUCUAAUGAGGGAGGAGGCCCGAGGAUGGCUGGGUUUGAUUUAUGACUGGAGGAGAAGGUCCACUUCCCACUGCGAAGCGGGCAACCUGCUCGCGGCCCAGCUCCUGAGAGAGGAACCCGCGGAGGAGAGGACCCAGGCCCAGGCUUACCCUCAGCCCAGGAUAGCCCUGACUGCAAUUUUCCGACAUCUAGGGCAGCUCCAGGCUCUGAUUCUCCACAGCAAACACAGUGAGCGAGCUCGCCAGUCGCCCAGUCUGCGGAGGCUCCCAGGCCAGCCCCGGCACCCGACUGCCGAGAAGCCCAGAGCUUCCCCAUUAGCCAGCAGAGGCUGGUGGAGAGCCUGGAUGGAGCCUGCAGGUGCUAGGCACGGGAAAUGGCGUCAGACCCCAGCAGAACGCUUCACAAAGAGGAGAGGGCUUGCUGCGUACAGGCCCAAAAGAAACGAAGCCCCACAUAAAAUUACACCUAUUUUUUUUCUACAAAACCUGGUUCUUAUAUAGCAAAGUUAAACAAAGCAGCUAUGCUAAAUUAGCGUUACAUAAAGGCGAGUUUAAUGCUCGGUUACAGUCAACUGAUGUAUCUCUGAUGGCUAAUUGUCUAUCAAAAUUAAAGAGAAAAGAACAAAUGAUUCGUUAUAAGAAGGUGUUAAAAGCCUCAACAAAAGGACAUUUCACAAAUAUAAUAUCGGCAGCUCCGGGAUUGCCUGCGGGGUUGUUCAGGCCCCGGCCCUGCACAGCUAUGAGAAGUGGGGUGCAGGGUGCUAUUUGCCCGGCAAGAGCUCAUUUCCUCCCAGAUGAGUAUAAUGAAAACCCGAGAGGCGAUAUUAGUGUAAAGAUCGGGAUUAAUCCAAACAGGAGCGGUAGACUUGGGCUUAAAAGGCGAGCCCUACUCCCUUUGCCCAGUCUGGGGACGGAGGGCACUUGAAGGGAUACUUCAAGGACGCCACAUCCAACUCUUCGAAGUCCCACGUUCAGGGACAGGAGGGAGCGAUCAUUGGGCAGAGGGUAGUUUCAACAAAGGAGAGCAGGCUAGAGAGAUCCCGGCUUUUCCUUGCCUUCUAGGGGUUGGAAGGGGACGGUUCGGGCUCUGUCGCAGGCGCGGGCACAGUCCAGCACGUGCCUUUCUGACGCGCGGCGCUGGUCUGGGGAGGGGCGUGCAGGCUGCUGCUGCCAGCCCCCACCCCGCCCCAGGCUGGGAAGGACGCAGAAUAUAAUACGACGGCCCCUUCCCCAAGGCGACACCAGAUCCAGAGCUCCAGGCAUAUUUGUUGUUCAAAGUUAAUUAAACCUGAAAGCAACCAAAAUGCGCGCGCCAGGCUCACGGAGGCCGAUUCCCGACCCGUGUAGCCGGCCCGCAGAGCCAGAAAAGCGUCAAGGGCCGCCGGGGCUCGCUCAUUCCGGCGGAGUCUCUGUAAGAGAAUCUGAGACUGGGGAAUAAAAGCCGAAACCAAAUCAGGCAGCAAGAGCAACAAACCAUCUGGAAAAUGGACCCAAGGCGCCGCAAGAAUGUACUUUUUUUUUUUUAAUCUUUGACAAUUUGUGUCCUAAAGAAAGUGUAUUGAAGAUAAUUGAAAUGAUUACAAUUCAUUGCUGCCUGACUUUGAAUAUGAACAGUCACAUAAUGACAUCCCCGCCACACAACAACAGUUUAAUUUCCAUUAUCCGACUUCGGGAUCCUAGCGCCAGCCGCCGGGGCAACGCCGCGCUAAUGCAGAAAUCUUGGCUCCUGCCUGCAUUAUUCAUUUCAGGGGAGUGGGGAUGGGAUAGGAGUGGAGAAUGGGUUGUUCCUCUCUCCCCAAACUUGUUCUGAAAAUCCCGAAGACCAGUGGACGCAGAGAAGCCGAGAGUCGAGAGAAUCUGUCACGGGGCCACUUUACCCGACGGGGCUGCGGACGACGGCGCUCCCCCGCUGUCUUGUAGUCCCCUUGGGUUCCCAGAUCCGCAGGGCACGGAUCUCCCAGCUCCCACCCUAGUCGGGUCCAGUCAGGGAGGACCCAGGCCAGGAUUCCUUGGCAAGAUUGUCAUCUGUCGGGGCAAACACCCUUCUCUCAUUCUUUCCUUUCCCUUCCAGCCCUCGCGUCCCUUCCUUCUUUCUGCUUCAGAGCUCGCAGGCUCGCGUGCAAGCGGGAUGGGCCCAGCUCCCGGGGCCCCUUCGCAGAUUUGAAGGUUGCCUCGGCCUUGAUUUGGUCCCAGCCUCCCUGCUGGGGACUCAGGCCCCACGUCCCGUGCCACCCGAGGAAAAGCAGAGAAAGCCAGAGUGUCUUCGCACGGCGGGGACCCUGGCGAUCACCUCUGGGCGCGGCCUCGGUGGAGCCUCAGGGCCUGGGUGGGGUGUGGCGGGGUGUGGCUGGGUGGGGUAGGACAGGGUCCCUGGGUGCGAGCCGGGCCAAGGCCUCCGCAGUGCGCAGGCGCCGUUCGGGCCCCCUGCCCCCUCCCAAAGCGCGGGGUCCGGGGGACAGACCCCGAGCCCCUCUCUGCGCAACUACCGCCUCUAAAAAAAAGACCAUCUGGUAAUUGUCUUUCUUUAGAUCUUCCCUUAAUUAUGCUUUUAAUUAAAGAUGGUUCAAGGCACCGGACCACAUGAAGGGCAGUAAUUACAAAUUACAUUACAAACCCGACAGAUGUAGCAGGAUCUGCUGGGAAAAAGGUACCGGAAUAAAAAUUUGACUAAAGUUUGGGAUAAAUUAAUCGGUGGCUUGAAGAACAGAAGCACAGUUCUGAUUAUGUAGGCUCCAGCCAGGAUUUAAGUUUUGUGUCAUGAUUGUUUUCAUAUUUCUUUGACAUCUAUUGAUUUGGAGGCAGCUGCAAGCCUUUGUCACAGGAGAGAAGAGCAGUCACAAUAUAUUAGCUUGAUGGCAUAACUCGAACCGGAGAAGCGAGGGGAGCCAGAGUGACGGGGGCGCACAUGACCCCCCUCCCGGGGCCUUCGGGCUCAACCCUUACUUUUAACUUGUUCUAACAGGAAUAAUGGAGUAUUACUACUAAUGCAUGGUCAGAAGGGUCAUUUCUGUCUAGAACGCAGGCGGCAGGAGUUGCACUGCCACAGCCCGGGAGACCAAAAUGUCUUACUCCCUGCGCCCCACACCUCCUCGCCAACCGCAGCCCCGCGCCCAGUGAACCCAGCAGGUCCCAAGUCAAGGGACGCUGGGUUGGUAGAAGUUCUGCUGGUCCUGGGCUCUGCCCCUAGGUGCCAGGCCCAGUCUUCACCUCGGCUUCCUUAGGGAGCCUACAGCGGGUAGCCGAGGGGCUGGAGGCCCCGGAGCUGGGGAGGCUACCGCCGGGCAGGUGCCGGGCCUGAGGAGGCGUGCGCGGCCGCCCGCUCGCCCGCCGCGGGCCGGGAGCGUAAAGGAGCGUGACGCAGAUUGUGAAAACAGAAGGGAGGGAGUUGGGUCAUUUCCUUCGCUAAUCAUCGCCCUCUCCUGCUCCUCCUCCCUACCCCUAUCCCAUCCUCGCCGCCAGCCAGCCUCGAACACUCUUCCUUGCCAAAGUCUGACUCACUUUGAGCCAGUGGCUGCACUUUAUGGAGAAAAUAUACGUGCCCAUCACUCACCCAUCUAUUUACAGCGCCCAUGCAGCGCCUCGGGGAACACGCAUGGACAAUUAAACACACCCACUUACGGCGGGAUGAUGAGGCUUUCUGUUAACCACAUGUGUUCAGAGAUGGAUACAGCCCGAAUUUGGACACAGAAUGCAGCUAAUGCACCUUGCUAUAGAAGUACGUCCGUUGCAAGGGUGUGCGAUGGGCGCCUGAUCUAAACGAAGAGAACAAGGAUGUCUGCAGAUAAUCCAGCGGCCUGACACCUUUUCUUGCUGCUGAGGAAGGAAAGAUUUUCUUUUGAUUCGUCCUCUCACGAUUUUUUCCUUUUCCUUUGCACUACAGUUUCAGAGAGGAAUGUAAAUAUUUUGACUAGACCUCUGCAGGGGACUUUUAAACAACAGGCACAAUAAUCUGUGGAAUACUGUAGUUCAUAGUUUCAAAACUUGGAUGUUAAAAAGUCUGUCUUGCUGAGGAAAUCCAUAGACCUAGUGGCGACUUCUCAACUCUCUAUUUGUGUGAUGAAAUGAAGUAUGCCCUAGUUAUCCUCGAAUUUUAAGGAGUUUUUCUGUCACUGCUACUUUCCCAUCGUUUGCAGGGAAGAAAAAUCAAUCAAACUGACCUUUGAACGGGUUGUGGCAAGAUCACAUUUCACUGUGCUCCAGGCUUACCUCUUCUCACACCCCUCCCUGCUGUGGGGCGUGUGCAGGAAGUAUGCAAAACUCUAGAAAUAAUAUUUGAAAAAAUUAACACCUUUUAAAAAAAUUUCUUCUGUGUAUUUGAUAUACGCGUUUCUUUCUUUUCUUGUUUCAGUGUUUAAUACAAAGCUGAUAUGUUGGAACAGAAUGCAGUAUUCAAAGAAACUAAAAUUAGGAGGCAAAUAGUGUCAAGGUUUCCUCAGUUUAUGUAUUAGCACACAGAGUAUAGCGUCUUUUCAUACAAAAAGAAGCAAAAAUUGCCAAGAGGCAUAAUGCAUCUCUGAAUAUGCAUUUAAAAAAAUAAACAAACAUUCCCAAAAUAUUGAUGUACCCAUGAUUUUAUAGUCUGAAAAUAUUUCUAGACACAAAUAUGGUAGAAAAACAUUAGUUUCAACUCAGUCUUCGUUGUUGUUAAAAUGACAGUAAAUUAUUCUUGAUUUUAAAAUACCCUCCUUGUUAAUGUCAGUUGAGGUUAUUUUAGGGCCUGGAUGCUCUAGGAAGACUACCUAUAAUGUGUUUAUUUCUCUGUCCAAUUCACCUAUAGUGUAAGGAGCAUUUUAAAUAAAAUAUUUUGGGCAUCCUUAAUAAUCCUUUGUUAAAAUCACAUACUCUGAGAUUGUGACAAAUAGGCUGAAAAUUUUUGUUUUUUUAUAUCAAAUUCAUUUUAAUAAAUAAAGCAUAUGCUGAGGUGAUAAUACAACAAAUGCCAACAAAAAUGCAAGAGCACAGAAAAAAGAAAAUAUUGUUAGAAUUGCCUAAAAUGUUGCUUAUGAUCCUAAAUUUUUUGAUGUAAGGAACUUGAAAUUUUCAGCUAAUGUUAUUCUGUUUUCUUAUUCAAUGUUUCUAUUAGAACACUCACCUAUGCUCGGUCUUCCCUUGCUGUCUUCCCAUAGCUUAUGUGUGCACUAUGAAUUUCAAUAAAUAUAAAUUACUGCUUAAAGGAGUAAAGAAUGGCUACUUUAUGUCUCAUUGUUCUUUCCUUAUAAUCUGCUCAAAAAUCUUUUUACAAAUCCCAUUGUAGAUACUUCCCCUCAAUUCCAUGAUAAAAGUGAAUGGCAAAUGCCAUUCAAUUUAGAGGAACUCAAGCACAGAGAAUAUAAAGAUGUUGUUCAAAGC
ensembl:lncRNA